rnacentral:misc_RNA from 1 species
AACGCACCUUGCGCUCCUUGGUAUUCCGAGGAGCAUGCCUGUUUGAGUAUCAUGAAAUUCUCAACCUUGCUUUUGCAUCUGUGAAAUCAAGGUUGGAUUGUGGGAGACUUUUUUGCAGGCUUCAAAUCGAAGUCUGCUCUCCUGAAAUAUAUUAGCAGAGUUGCAUGAACAGCUUUUUAUUGGUGUGAUAAUCAUCUAUGCCAUGGGCUGUGAAAGCGAGUUUGCCUUCCAAUUUUAACAUCUGUUAUUCAUGACUUUUUGAUCUCAAAUCAGGUAGGACUACCCGCUGAACUUAA